UAAUGAGAAAAGAACAGACGAUGUCGUUCAGAGUUGCCAAUCCCCAUAAAGACUCCUCCUUCCAAGUUCCAACGUCAAAAAAAGUAUCUCUCUCGUUUCAGAGUUGAAACUUAGAAAACCCAACAGAAGAGUUGCUAGGAUCCUCCGUUUGGUCCUGUUUCUAGUACUUGAAGCUCACCUUUAAAAAUCAGAAGAGAAGAAAAAAGAUGCAUCUAUGGCCCUCAACGAUAAUCAGAGACUCCUUCAAGCUUGAAUACUUGAGAAAGAUGGAAUGGAACCUUCACAGAAUGAACAGCCAAAAAGCCUGGUCAAGUUCAGCCAAUAAAAAACUGUUGGAUACCCAGAAAGGUGCUUCAGGCAAUGAAAAUGUGGCAGAAAUACCCUACUCAAAGGCUCAUCCUACACAGAUGCUUCUGUCCUUUUGUCUCUGCUGUGGAGCGUUUGGAGAUCAUGAAGAGAACUGAGAAAAAUCCUUAGAGACUGAAUAUUAGUUGUUGCUUCAGUUAGUAAAACUGUACUGGUAUGUUAUCAUUAGGAUCUUCUUUCAUUCAUUGUAUAUGUACACAGAAAUACAGACUCAUCUCCAAUUCUAUAGUUUAAACUACACAAAUAUCAUAUGCAUACAAUUCCUUU